rnacentral:sRNA from 1 species
AACCUUGGCAUUCAAGGCAGAGAUCGCCAGGCAAGCAUCAGGCCAGACACUGGGAGUUAUCCUGAGAGCCUGGCCGCACGCUGACAGGGCCCCCCUUUGGGGACAGAAUUCCAAUUGCGGGCCGCGGCUGCCGCCUGGGAGAGGACGCUGCGCUCCGCCUCCGAGAGAAGGAAGAAGCAGGAAUGCAGGGGCUUCUGUGGGCUCCGUGCUUCCAGCCUUCUGGGAGAGAGAGGAAGACCCUUGGGCUCAGAACGAGCCGGUCUUCCUAGCUAGCCUCCGGCAAGGCUUCUAGAAGGGGAGGCUUGUCAGAGGAGCAGGACAGAUAGGGGUUGGGGACAUGGAAAGUUUUUAGCCUUUUUAUUUAAACUGCCGGGGGUCUUCUACUUCAGGUAAUGAGCUAUUCCCAGAGGAAAGCAAACUUGAUCCCCUAUCUCCAUUAAUGGAAGGAAAGUGGAUACUUAACUGCAUGUGGCCAGUGAGAUGCUGGCAAGGGUUUUUGCACCAAUGUGGGCUCCAGGGUCACAUCCAUGUGGGGGUCUCUAUGGGAGAGAUGAUGAAAAGGAAGGGAGCAAUUUUAGAACCACAGGGUCUCCCUCUGCAGGCUGGAGGGGGACACUCCAGAGUAGAGAGAAGACCUUUUAGAGAUAGAAGAAUCAGUGUGCCCACAGGAGCCCCAGAGAAAGAGCAACAAGUAUCCCCCACCCCCAUAUGGCUGUCAGGACUUUUUUGUGUUUAACAAAGGAAGACAGCUGGGUGCCCUGUAGGACUGGUUGAAUUCCAUUCUGUGUAAGGUGUGUGUGUGUGUGUGUGUGUGUGUGUGUGUGUGUGUGUGUGUGUGUGUGUGUGUUCUGUCCCAGGAUCUGCCAGAUGGAAUCACAGCUGGAGCUGUAGGUAAGAGAGAGGACAGGCUCUGGUUGGUCUUCUACCUCCUGCUUCCUAAAAAUCCCUUGUAAGUCAGGCCCCUGCUGGCUGAUAGGUGUGGCUUGCCAAGGAUCAAGUGGCUGGCAUCAGGGAUAAAUUCUCAUCAGGGUGAAAGGAAUUGUAAGUUAGAGUAGCCAACUUGAGCCACUUGGCCAAGCUGGGGCAGAGCCACACAGAGGCAAAUGUCUUGGAGAGCGAAGCUGGCAUCUCCAGGGCCUGCCAGGCUUAAGAAGGUGGAGAAAGGCGAAGCUGACAUCAUGCUCUUCUAGGCCAAUGGCCAUUCUGAGAUGGCGUUCUGACCCAUCCAGAUUCCUGCAAAGCCAGAUCCACUGAGAUGGUUCCCAGAAAGCAGUCUGAGGUGACAUGUGGAACAUGACCUUGUCAGUUUAUCAAUCGUGAAUGAUAUGACAUGACAGAAGGCAAAUGAUCAAGACUGGGGAGCCUUGUGCCUUUGCUAACCCAGAGUCCUGGUCUCAACAGGGCAUAGGCUUGUAAACCAGAGGGACCAAAACCAAGUCACCUUAGCAAGUGAACAUUCUUGAUUUUAUUGCCAUCCUACAGAUGAGAAAACUCCGCCACAAUGAACUGUUGUGUCCAAAUCACGGGACCAGUGAAAUGAGAGCUGGGACUUCAUCUGGACACUAUGUUGGCUUGGGGAAAGCAAGAGAGAACAAAAUACAUUGACCAACCUCAUGGCUCAAGGAAGGUGACUGGGGAACCAUUUAAAACUUACCAGGAUCUUAUUUGCCUCCGGAACUGCAUAUCUAAAAGCCAAGGUCAAACACACUCUGCCUUCUCUUCUGCUUCCUGUGCAUGACCCCAAAGAUGACCUCAGGGACCUGGGGCCUGUCCCAAGGAAGUGAAGGUUCUGCCAUGAUUCUGUCCCUUACUGCUCCCAGAGACUCAGCUGCUGUCACCAAACUGGAAAGCACCUGAUGUCAGGUCGUGCACACCGGUUAUCUCCUACUUCCUAAUCUGUGCACGUGAGUGUCGGUGAGAGCUGGGGCCACCGAGGAACUGAAACUGCCUGACUGCCUGCCUUCUCAGGGAGCAAUUUCACCUUCUCUGCACCCAGCAUGCGUGAAUGGACACCCAAGACUUCUCUACAAGCCCCUUUUCACCUUCCUGCCCCUGCCAUCCUAACCACAGGAUGGUGAGGGCAAAAAUCCACCGUGUAAAUAAGAGAUCCUCUUCUAGUCUGCCUCUGCCCUUCUGUCUCCUGGGAAGAAAGUAGAAGAAAGAAACCAUGACUAUUUGUUUUCUCUCGGUCACUCAGUCCCUGGAGCCAAUUGAUUCACACGCAAGGGGGGAAAAAAUCCGCACAGACAGGUCUGAAGUCAAUCAUCCACAACAGGCUUUCAACAAAAACUUUAUUAGUACCACGUUGGCCACAGGUGAGCUGGCAUUGUGUAUAGCGGAGAGGUAGUGUAGAGUGAGCUUCUAUGCUCUGAGUGGAGCUGCCUCUCCCCCUUGUGUUCUGCAUGUGGGGUUGCAGCGUCUGCUGAGCAUCCUCUCUGCAGCCAUAACGCUGUAGCACCUCACCUCCUACACCCAUGGCCCACCCUGCCUGCCAUCUUUAUUCGCCGCUAUGCACCCCAAAAAACCCACAAGCAUGCCCAAGUCAGAAUGCACGUUCAUCCGCAUCCUGUAUCUUCUGUGUAAGUAGUUGUGUGUUUGUUUCAAUUCGAGUCAUGCGUUCUCUAGUUCUUUCAAACUGCCAAGCGAAAUCAACGUGAUGGAAUGGGACUUUUAGAAAGCAGAGAUCAGGACUGAGAAGGGUGAAAGGAGAAAUCUUCAGCUUUUUCCUGUACAUCAACAUGGCUCCCGUUUUAAACUCAUAACAUGGUAAUGUAGGGAUGCUACAUGGGGGCGCUGGCUAUGUAUCAUCUAGAUAGGAGUAAAUAAAGACAAAGCAAAGCAAAUAGAAAACCACAACAAAAACAAAACAAAACAAACAGACAACCAAAAAACCCAAACCCCAAAUGCAUGAUCUCAGUUUUCAUGGGGCUUUUUCACCUGUUGGAUGAGGCACUGGCUAACAUCUCUUUUCUGUUCACACUUGAUGACAUACUCAGACAUUACCACGUCUGACUUCCAUGGCAGAAGGAACUGUAGGCCCGGAGAGCUGAAGGACCCUAAGCUCCAAUCUAAGCACUCAUUCUAUUCCACAUUCCAGGUUGUUUGCACUCGGCUGCUCUCCUACUUGCCCCACUCAAAUCCAAUCCACGGAGCUCUGAUUGAGAAUGUUUGUGGACUCAGCUCCAGGGAGAAAAAGCCUAUAAGAUCAACAGGAAGCAUUGGGGAGGGAGAAGAUUGGAGAUGGUGGUCUUAUCCAGCUCUAUGACCAGGCCAAGGAUGACACUGUUCUUUCUACAAUGUUCCUGUGUUUGCCACAAUAUCAGGAAUCCCAGUUAAAGAGCAUUGGUUGAGUCCUGAGAGGGAAGUAACCACCCCACCUUCUCUUUGUACAGAUACAUGCAUAUGAGCGUGUGUCCUUACUUUCAUGUCUAAUGAAAUGAUGGAGUUAGUAAGGACUUACAGCUUAUGAAUUUGGGUCUGAAUCCUUUGCUAGAGCAGUGUGGAAAGAGGACAGUGAAUGAAGGACAUUCUCUCAUUGUCCAAUACACUGCGUCCACAGGGCUUUGCCUUUGAGGAGCCAAGACAUUGCGAUUGGAUGCUUCAUUCUCUGCAGGUCAGAGUCCAUGGAAGGACAUCUCUGUGUAUCAGGAGGACUAUAUCCCAGAGCCAUGCACAUACCCUGCCCCUUUUACCAGCAAGCAGGCCAGGCUUAAAGGGGCAAGGUAAUGAGACCACAGUCUCAACACUUGUGUGAGUGUGAACUUCAGAUAAGAGUCUAGGGUGACUGCUUCCUUCCCUAUGCCUUUGGAGACCUGGGGGUGUGUCUGUAAGGGUACAAUGCCUGGGAGAAGAAAUCAGUAUGUUUCCAUCCAGGACCCAACACACACUGGUCAUGUUACCUGAAGCAUGCUACUUAACUUGCCUUGCUUUGCUCAUCUGUAAGAUGGGGACAGUAUCAGCUCCAAUGUCAAAGGAUGGGUAGGUAUAAGUAACUAAGGUGGGAAAACCACUAAGUAUCUAAUAAAAGUUCUGGAAGAUGCCAUUAGCACCACCUCCAUUAUAGUUACUACUAUAAUGUGAAAAGAAGGUUUGACUGAGCUCCACCCUCUGCAUGCAUAUGAACGUUCUUGGUUUCCCACCAUACAUACCUCCAUGCAAACUGGGGAAGGCACAGCCACGAAUCCAGUACACAAGAGCACAGGGCAGUGGGGUUUGAAUAUUCGUAACUCAAGGUACAUAUGGGUGCCAGGGGAUAGGGUUCUCAUUCACAAUCAGUUUUGAGGGUAACUGAGAUGGGCAGGAAAACUUUGUUUUGGACAUUUGCCCCUUACAAAGCAGCGUUGGUGUAUCAAGAGCUCUGCUAGGACAUAACGCUCCUUAAGACGUGUUUGCAAACCCUGCUUUUACCUGUAUCUAACUGGAUUUCUGUUUUCUCCCAGGGGCAACAGGAUGCCUGCAGGCUCUUGCAGAUAUUUGGGGAUGGCCUUCAGAGGUUCUGAAAAUGGUCGCCCUCAUGCAGUCUGACCCAGAGAUAGUCACUCUUUCAUUUUCAGUGUGUUCUGUGAGGGCAGGAGUUCGGACUAGAGGCCUCAUUACCUCAUCACUCCUCAGUGCCUCUCACUAGAACCCUACCCUCCCUGAACACUGAACUCCUAUAACUGUAUUUCCACUACCCUAUGACCACAGUCAGAAGCCAAGCUGCCAACCACCUCUGUGGUAGGACUAAUUUCCCUGAGGUUGAUGGAGCAUGUCCCUUGUGUGACUACACUAAAGCAUGAGACAGACAAGAGAGGAGUCAGGCAGAUGCUUUGCAUGUAAGGAGCUGCCAGUUCAGUAAGCAAGACCAGGCUAUGACAGUUGAAGUCAGGUGUGUGGUAGAGCUGUACAUGAGCAAGAAUGAGGGGACUCAGAGUAGAAGGAGCAUCAGCUAUACUGUCCCUGUGCAAUGAGUGACAGCAGAGUGGUCUAUCACUGUGUCUAGUCGUUACCAGAUCCAUUCAAGGAUGACACUCAGGUGCUGAUAACUGUGUUAAGAAUCCAUGUGCAUCAUGAAAUUCAGUGAGAAUUUCCCUAGUUCAGUGCCAUUGAUACUUUGGGCUGGCUAAGUCUGUGAUGCAAGGGAUAUUGGAUAUACUGUGGGGAGUUUCACAGCACCCCUCAUGCUCACACCUCACUGCCUCAGUUGUACCAAUAAAAAAAUGUUCCCUGGAGGCAGUAUCACCACCAGCUGGAAACCACUGAGGGAAUGAACCCAUACAUAGCCUAGGGCUGGACGUAUAAUUAUUAUUCAUAGUGCACAGCUGUCUCUUCUCUAUUUGAGGUACAAGUAAAUUAAACCCUAGGUCCAAGGCCAUACAUCAAGGAAGGGCUGGGAAGAGUUGAUCUGGUUUACAGUCUGCAAGUUUGUUGUGUUCCUGCUUUGUCUGAGGAUGCUCAGUGAGCCCACAGGUACUGGGCUGGGAAAAUGGCUCAGUUGGUAAAGUGCUCAGCAUGCAAGCAUGAAGACCCAAGUUCUAAUCCCCUGGAUGCAUAUAAAGAGCUGGGCAUGGUGGUAAGAGCAUGUAGUCUCAGAUCUUGGUAGAUGGAGGGAGGUAGAUUCCCUAGGUUUCACUGGCAUCUAGCCAAGUUGCAUUGACAAAUUCCAGGCCAGUAAGAACCCUGGUUCACUAAACAAGGGGGGUGAGUCCUGAGGAAUGAUAUUCCAGGUUGACCUCUGGCCUCUCCACUCACGUAUAUACACCUAUACCUGCACCCUAUACCUGUCCCACAACCAUCUAACCAUCUUUUCCUGCAGGCCCCCACCCACAUUUUACAAAUGAGUGUGCUAAGUCCUGGACUAAUAGAAGAUCACCCCAAGUUACAGAGCAGGCAAACUGCCAGAGGCUAGACUUGGAUCCACGUCUUGUCAGGCUGCUCCCUGAGUCAAGUCAACACUGAUUAAAUGAUGGGAGGCAAGCAGGCGACUUAAUAAAAAAAAUGCAAAUCCAGGAUGAUGGAUAUAUUUAGGAGGAUGAAUUAUUAUGUGGUGGUAUAAAAAUAGAUCAGAGGAGAGCACGUGGACUUGCCAGCCUGGCUGUGUGAGAGACGGGAGGUUCAGGAAGAGCACCAGCGACAUUUCAUUAACUUUGCUGGGAAAACAUGGAGAGGCUGUCACCUGAAAACACAACAUUCACGGUGGCUCUUAAAGGAACAGUGCAUGAGGAGGAGGUGGACUCUUGAGUGGACGAGGAACUGCCGGUAAUUAUGCUGGGACCCUUGCCGCAAUGCCUGCUUCCAGAGCUACAGCUGCGCUCCAGAGAGAUCAUUAGUCGGUAUGCACAUGUUAUUGAGGGCAGUGGUGUCAUCGCCGGUUGAAGAUGCCCUCAGUCAAGUGUGAGAGCCGGAAAUGGAGGUCAAAAUAAUUAACCUCCUGUGAUUUUGUGCUCCUUGCAAAAUCAACCAUGUGCAGCUCAUAUUUCAGCAGAACAAUAUAAUCAUUUGUUCACAAGUCUCUCUCUUUCUCCCUUCCUCCCUCACUCGUCUUUCCUCCUUUCUGUCUCUCAAUCCAUCUCAUUGGCUAGCUUUUCUGUAUUCCCUUCCCACCCUAACAGCAGGCUGUCAUAACCCACUGCACCCAUAGGCAUCGCUGGAUAGGGCUUAGUACCCUCACCCAUUGCUGUCACACCGACUCUCUAAAGAACAGCAGAACGUGUUCCCUUUGUAAAAGCUUCUCUUGACCCCAUUUCAGUUCACCCACUCUCUCCUGCACCACACAGGAAUUAUGCAUCACUGUAGGAGUCACAGCCAAAGCAUCCACCAUCCACUCUACUUACGGAACACUCCUACCUGGCUGGUGGCAGCAUUACAAGGGGCCAGCCUGGGGUUGUAGAAAAGUCCAUGUGCAGAGAGGAGCUAAGGGUAUUUGCCAAGUUGUAAAGAACAAGAUGUUGAAUGAGGUGCCCUUCAGAGUGUGGGGUGUCUGAGCCUUCAUUCUGUUCCCUCAUUCAGCCAGCCAUCCUUUUCAUCCAGCAAUGUAUGCUAAAUGUUGAUCGCAUGGUAUAGGAUUCUCCACUGUGUGCAUUUUGUAACUGGUGUGAACCAUUUUAUUAAUUAAAGAUGUCAUUAUA